AACGAACGCUGGCGGCAGGCUUAACACAUGCAAGUCGAACGCCCCGCAAGGGGAGUGGCAGACGGGUGAGUAACACGUGGGAAUCUACCCAUCCCUACGGAACAACUCCGGGAAACUGGAGCUAAUACCGUAUACGCCCUUUUGGGGAAAGAUUUAUCGGGGAUGGAUGAGCCCGCGUCGGAUUAGCUAGUUGGUGGGGUAAAGGCCUACCAAGGCGACGAUCCGUAGCUGGUCUGAGAGGAUGAUCAGCCACACUGGGACUGAGACACGGCCCAGACUCCUACGGGAGGCAGCAGUGGGGAAUAUUGGACAAUGGGCGCAAGCCUGAUCCAGCCAUGCCGCGUGAGUGAUGAAGGCCUUAGGGUUGUAAAGCUCUUUCGCCAGGGACGAUAAUGACGGUACCUGGAUAAGAAGCCCCGGCUAACUUCGUGCCAGCAGCCGCUGUAACAC
rnacentral:rRNA from 1 species